AUCACAGUUAGAAGUACAAAAUAUCCUGUUACCAAAGUAAAGUUUAAUAAUUAUUGAUAUUUUAAUGUAUACUUUCCUAGUUCUUAUUAUAUUAAUACAUUUUAUUUAGCAGUCAGUGUAUUUUUGUGUUCUGAUUAUUUUAACUGUAUUGGGUUAGUUCGCAGAAAAUAUUGUUUAAAGUUACAUAUGGUCCUACUUUCCCGCACUAGUGCUGGAAACAGCACUUUCCGCGCGUAUGUCAAAAGUUUAAAGGGCCAUAUGUGCUGUAAAACGUUGUACGAUAUACGUGCGAAUAAGUAAUUCUCAAAUCCCUUCCCAAUCCCUUCCCUUUUUUAAGUAAAGAGUCUAUAUUCUUCAAAAACUGAUGAGAAUAAUAUAUACACGGUGUAACAUGAGGAAACCGAAUAAUUUUAACCACGCAUUUCUGAGGUCAAAAGAAGUAAAAAAUGUAAUAUGAGUUAAGGUCAAUUUCGCCAAAAAAAAAUUUUUUUUUUGUUUUGUUUUUUAAAUUUUUUGAAUGUAUUUGUACAUAAAAAACAGAUGUUAUUGGUAAACUUGUCACUUAAAAUUGAUUUUUACAUUUUUUUGUCGAUUUUUACGUCCCAUAGCAGCAACAUCUACAUUAAAAAGGCCUUUUACACUAUGUAACAAUAAAAACUUGUUUGUUUUUAAAUUAAUAAUAUCUCCGAAACUAGGCGAAUUUCAAAAAAGUUUAUAGGACAUUUUUGUCUCUAAAUAUGAUCAGGAAUACGCUGUUAAAAUUAUUCGGUUUACUCAUGUUACACCGUGUAUAUGAUGAUAUUUGUUCCUGAGUCAUGGUGUAGGUGUAUGUAUUUAAGUAUUUAUAUAUUAUAUAUAUUUUACUGGUGAGAACCUGUAAUUGGCUUUUUGUAUCACAUCUAUAAAACCUAUUAACAUGUUAACAGCUGUUGGAUCUCCGAAUAGAAAUAAAAAAUAGAAAUAAAUAAAUAUAUCGUUGUCUGAGUACUCACAACACAAGCCUUCUUGAGCUUACCGUGGGGCUUAGUCAAUUUGUGUAGUAAAUAUCCUAUAAUAAUUUUGUUUUUCACUCCGUAGCAAAGUCUGUUUAACCCUUCAUAUUUGAGCACGAAGGGUUAAACAACCACUUUGCCCCCUUGUUAAACAAAUAGCUAUUUGUUUAUUGGCCCACUGGCUUAAUACUUGCAUGUUCUGAAAUAACAUCUUUAUGGUCCCUGUAAUAUGAUACAAAAUAACAUCUUUAUGGUCCUUGUAAUAUGAUACAAAAUAACAUCUUUAUGGUCCCUGUAAUAUGAUACAAAAUGCGAAACACACUGACUGUAUAAGACACAUCACUGUAGAAAUUAUGUUUAUGUGAUAUUGUGAACAAUUUACCUACUUGUUUAUUGUUAGUAGCAUUUUAAAUUGUAUGUAUCUAUGUUAGUUCCUAAAUUUAAAAAUACUUAUGUAAAACUGUAUUAAUUUUAAUUUGAGGAGCUUAUAUUCCAAAUCUGAUUUGUCAUCGUGUCGUCAAACUGAUAGAUAACCUAAUAUUUCUAUUUUAAAUAACUGAAACUUUACACUGUUUGUUAAAAAUAAUAUUGUAGACUAAGUGUCGGUUGCACCAAACUGUGCGUAUCGUUAAAGAAUUCGCUAAAUUUGUAUGUAUGGAAAGUUUCAUAGUAAAGCGCCGGGGCGCGCCGGCUGACGUUGAUCAGUCUGUCAAAUGUGGUUGGUGCAACUGGCCCUAAUACCAUUUUAAAAUGGUAUUAGUUGCGGAAUAACUACCUAUACAAAAUAUCUAUACUUCAUGGAAAAAUAAUGUCUUGCUUAGAGACUUGGACAAAACCUUUUAUGCACGAACGUUACUGUUCGUUUUUUUUAGCAUUAGAAAGAACUCCACAGAAGCAAGCGUGCAGUUUUUAUCAGGCUCUGUAAUUGUUAAUAAUUAUUGAAUUAUCUAAUGUAGCAUGGUCAAUACAUUAUAAUUUACUUCAAAUCAUUACCGCUAAAAAUGGCGAUUUGGAACCACAAGCUUACUUCUGCGAAGUUCUUUCUAAUGCUAAAAAAAACGGACAUUUUGUUCGUAACCCCAAAUCUUUUUUCGGUUUGUCGUAAGGGUACUUUGAGAAAGUUUACAUCAAAUCAAAUAUAAACGGCAGAGGAGAAGAAGAGGAGAGAGAGGAGGGAGGGUGGCAGGGCUCUCCUUAGGAAGAAUAGCGGCAAUAGACUGUUAGCGAUUGGUUGAAGUGACAAAUCACUUCUUGCAUGAGAAAUUCUUGUGGACAAACCUCUUUUUGGUUAUGAUCAUACAUCGGGGUUUUCGGUGCGGGAAUGUUUUACACUAGCCAAAUAACAGGUAAAAACUAUAAAAAACGGUACUAAUUUAACAUUUCUAGGCACAUUUGGACCUCACUACCUACGUUUAAUUCAUAGUUUGGUAAUUAUUUUACAAUAAACAAAGUUAUAAAUACACGAAAUCAUUCCCGCACCGAAAACCCCGAUGUAUGGUUAUGAUACUGAUAUACUAAAUCAAAAUAAUAAUUAUGCAGUAACGAAAUGUUUUAUGGUACUAUUAUGAAUUUUCUAUACAUAUUCUAAUCUGUGACAAAUCAGGUUUUGAAUAUAAGCUGAAUAAGCUCCUCAUUUACGAUGAAAUAAAGUACCUAUGUAUGUAAGCAGUUUUAGUUUUAAGAUGAACCUGAAUGUAUUUUAUUGUUAAUAAAUUAUAAGUUAAUAUUAAUAAGAAUAAGGUAAACAAAUCUUGGAACGUAGGAGCCUGGCAGAAAUCAUUUGAAAUUAGGAAAUUUUAUAUUAAAAUGUUAAAGUCAAACCCACCAUCAAAAAGUCGCUCCCAUACAAUCAAAGUUAUGCUUUCAUUUUAAAACGUCAUAUUUAAAUUACGUGAAACAUGGCAUUAACAUUUGGUAUAAAUAUAUACGUAAUCUUAUCUGUGUCUGAUAAGUAUUAGAUUUUUUGCUAAAAUGUUAUACGAAGAAAAUUCAUUUUAAAAUGAGAGUGUGUCUUCGAUUGUAUGAAAGCGACUUUUUGCGGCUGGUUCAUGUGACUUUGAAAUACCUAUUUGCUUCAUAAAGAAUUACAUUUAUAUAGAAAUGGGAGGUUAUUUUCAAAAUAAUUAAAGAAAGGACGCGUAGCACAAGGAAUUUAGUACAUCGACCCGCCUGUUCCAAUACUUCCAACCUAUCGCACGCGCGUAAUGACAGGUAUUGCUGUCCCGCCCAUGACGACGGCGGUUAAUGUCCCUGCGACCGGGACAGCUAUAUAAUGAUGCGCGUGCGUUAGAGAUAGGAACAGGCGGGUCAAUGUACGUAAUUCUUCGUGCUAAACGUCCUUACUUUACUUAUCAAUUCUAUAAUUAUCUUUUCACCAUACCAGCUCGGAAAGGCUUACUUUGCACUUCAAAAACUGAUAGCAAAGUUGCAUUUUAUUCACAUGUGAGGCAAAGUAAACAAAUGCAAAUUUUGAGUUGUUUUCUUAUGUUUGCUGGUAGAAUUGACUUUUAAAGGAUGAUAAAUAUUUAACAACAUUUAUUUGGAUUUGAUUUGGUUUGAUUUUGUUUGAUAUUUUACAUUUAAUAUUUGCUUCGGGUUGGUGUGGUCAAGUGUGGUGGAAAGUUUUGUGUUUCACUCGGGGGCAAAUUUUGUUUAACCCUCGUGCUUUGAAACUCUCGCAAUGCUCAAGAUUCCACUUCUCGCUUCUCGAACCACUCGCAACGCUCGUGGUUCAAUUUUGGAAUCUUUCGCUUGCUCGGGUGUCAAUAUUAGCACGAGCGGUUAAACAAGAACUUUGCCCCCGAGUGAAACAAAUAAAUAAUUUCGAACCCUGGGAGCUGUACAAAUGAAUUGAUUGGAUAACUUGAAUGUUUAUUUUGUGCCAGGUUUGCGAAUGAACCCAACUAUAGUCCGUUUUUUUUAGCAUUAGAAAGAACUCCACAGAAGCAAGCGUGCAGUUUUUAUCAGGCUCUUUAAUUGUUAAUAAUUAUUGAAUUAUCUAAUGUAGCAUAUGGUCAAUACAUAUAAUUUACUUCAAAUUAUUACCGCUAAAAGUGCCGGAUUUGGAACCACAAGCUUACUUCUGCGAAGUUCUUUCUAAUGCUAAAAAAACGGACUAUAGAUACGUAGCAAAAAAUGUCAAAAAAAUAUUUCAUGCGCACGCGAACCGACCCGAAUGAUUCUCAGAGUAUAACAAGUCCAGUUUAUAUAGUCGCACCAAUAAAAGUCUGCAGCGGAUUUGAUAGCCCACGCAGUGUAAGUGCUCUUAUACAUAAUAAUUUCAUAGAAGUUUGACGUUUAAAACUUAGAGAAUAUAACCAAACGGAGUGGUCAUUAACAGGCGUUCCCCUCUGUCGAAAAUAGGCGGCCAAUGGUCAAUUGGUCAACCUCAUGUCAACCAAUGUAUGGACUGACGUUUAUCUGACAUGACGUACCUAUACAUUUGAUGUGCCCCUCCCCCGCAAAAAACGGCAGACUAUUACGUACCGAAAAUAAUAGACAUGGCGUCUCCGUUGGUUAUAUCCUCUAAGGUUUAAAAUGACACUUGCACUGCGUGGGCUAUCAAAAUCGCUGCAGACUUUUUACGGUCUAACUCUAUGUACGUAUGUAUGUAUGUAUGUAUGUAUGUAUGUGUGUCUAUGUAUGUAUGUAUGUAUGUAUGUGUGUAUGUUUGUAACUAUGUAAAAAUCACCGUAAUCGUAAAAAUGGUAUUUUUUGCAAUAAAAUGUUUUUAGACUUAUA